AGGGAAUAUUGCUUAAUGGGCGAAAGCCUGAAGCAGCAACGCCGCGUGUGUGAAGAAGGCCUUCGGGUUGUAAAACACUUUUUGAGGGGAUGAGGAAGGACAGUACCCUCAGAAUAAGCCUCGGCUAACUACGUGCCAGCAGCCGCGGUAAAACGUAGGAGGCGAGCGUUAUCCGGAUUUACUGGGCGUAAAGCGCGUGCAGGCGGCACGGCAAGUUGGAUGUGAAAGCUCCCGGCUUAACUGGGAGAGGUCGUUCAAAACUGCCGAGCUAGGGUGCGGGAGAGGGAGGUGGAAUUCCGGGUGUAGUGGUGAAAUGCGUAGAUAUCCGGAGGAGCACCAGUGGCGAAAGCGGCCUCCUGGUCCGCAACUGACGCUCAGACGCGAAAGCUAGGGUAGCAAACGG
rnacentral:rRNA from 1 species